CCUACGGGAGGCAGCAGUGGGGAAUAUUGCACAAUGGGGGAAACCCUGAUGCAGCGACGCCGCGUGAGUGAAGAAGUAAUUCGUUAUGUAAAGCUCUAUCAGCAGGGAAGAAAAUGACGGUACCUGAGUAAGAAGCCCCGGCUAACUACGUGCCAGCAGCCGCGGUAAUACGGAGGAUGCGAGCGUUAUCCGGAUUUAUUGGGUUUAAAGGGUGCGUAGGCGGACUGUUAAGUCAGCGGUAAAAGCCCGGGGCUCAACCCCGGCGAGCCGUUGAAACUGGCUGUCUUGAGAUGUCGAGAGGUAUGCGGAAUGCGCAGUGUAGCGGUGAAAUGCUUAGAUAUUGCGCAGAACUCCGAUUGCGAAGGCAGCGUACCGGCGCCAGACUGACGCUGAGGCACGAAAGCGUGGGGAUCGAACAGGAUUAGAUACCCGGGUAGUC
rnacentral:rRNA from 1 species